AAGUUGAUAAGUGAGAGGUUGGUGUCCUGCAUGCUGGGCCCACGUCCAAUGUGUGUGCAAUGUUAGUUUGUAUGGAUAUCUUUAAAACAGUCCGUUACUUGAUGGAGGGCAAGUCAAAGACAAUGAGUGCCAGUUCCCCCUGAGUGACUAGUAGACACAAAGUUAUCUGAUCAAUGACCUGGCCUGUGCUACCAGCCAUUACUAGUCUCUUGCAAGUAGUGUUAGUCUUGGGCAUCGCAGUUUGAAAUGAGAAGACUGAAGGAAUUAGUGACCCUGUGCCUAAGGGAUGGGGCAUAGAUACCCUAAAGGUUGUUAUCGUAUACUAACUGCCAUGGCCCGGCGGUGACAUAUUUGGAGAUGAGUGACUGGGAUAGUACUGCGGCAUAGUCAGUGUACGUUGCUGUGUCACCAGGGAAAGAAGGGACAGUGCUGCACAGUCUGAGUCAGUGAUCCUGAUUGCCAUUGGACACAGGGAAGCUGGUUGCCAAGUCUUGUUUCAAAAUCCGCACAGGUUACAUGCAGAUUGAGCAGAUGACCAACGUUGCCUGUUUCCUGCUCCUUCAAACUUCUUCUCCACUGUUGGACUCAACUAUACCAGUAUUGGCGGCUCCGACUAGGAAGGAAAUCGGAGAUCAAACUAGAGAACUGUGAUGAUGAUGCCACUUACUUGCCGGUACUGGGUUGUGCUGUUGCUCUGGUGCUCUGCCCUUUCUGUCCCCCGCCGAGUCUGGACAUCAACCGAUCUACAAUACAGCCAAAGCUGCAAUCCAAGAAUAUACACAAUGCGGGUCACUGAAGAUGGAUGCCAAGGGGAAUUCCAGACAGAGAGUUGUGCUGGAACCUGCCCGUCAUCAUCCCAGCCUAGUGAGGACUUCCUGCAUAAUGGACUGUUUACAGAAACGUGCAAGUGCUGUGAGCCCACAAAGAUCGUGCACAGUAAUGUUUCACUGGUCUGCUCCGGCACAAAGAGAAACAUCAGGAUUCCACGGGCGGAGCAGUGUACUUGUCGGCCGUGUGGACCUGCACAUUCUGUCGUGGGACCUGGCAGCCGUGGCUCAUCAGCCAGCAAGCUGGGAGGCACAGUUGAAGCAAGCGGAAAUAACACGGGUGCUGAUGGCACGGGCGCUACAGAAACCACCUCCACUCCACCAGUAUGACCAAUUCAGCAGCAUGGAUGCAUGUGGGCUGGAUGGAACAGUGUUGACAAGUUUUCUUGAAGCCACUCACAUGAUAAUCGCCACGGCAAACAAAAGGCAGCGGGACGCCAGAGUGACUGAAUGCUUUCUUGGCACCAUGGUUUGUCAUCAUUAUUUUGGUCAAAGUGCAGUUAGUGCUAUGUACCCCUACCAUACGCAGUACAUCACAUGUAGUGAACUGACCUCACUGGUCUACACCUCACAGUGAAGUAACAGUAUUGAUACUUGGAUGUCUGAUGGCGUUACCAUAGUUACUAUACUUUAAGAAUGGAUAUUAUUGGUUCUGUACACUUCAAGUACAAUAAUUAUUCCGUUUGAGUGGAAUUCCCGCGGAGUGAUUCUACAUUGUAUAACCAAGUGGUGGAACCUUUGGACUCAACCUGAAACCUACUCUCAUACGAUCACAUAAAGGCAAAGCAACAAA